rnacentral:rRNA from 1 species
AGAUUGAACGCUGGCGGUAGGCCUAACACAUGCAAGUCGAGCGCGAAGGUGCCUUCGGGUGCGAGUAGAGCGGCGGACGGGUGCGUAACGCGUAGGAAUCUGCCUGGUAGUGGGGGAUAACUCGGGGAAACUCGAGCUAAUACCGCAUACGCCCCAUGGGGGAAAGCGGGGGGACCUUCGGGCCUCGCGCUAUCAGAUGAGCCUGCGUCGGAUUAGCUAGUUGGUAGGUAAUGGCCUACCAAGGCGACGAUCCGUAGCUGGUCUGAGAGGAUGAUCAGCCCACACUGGGACUGAGACACGGCCCAGACUCCGUACGGGAGGCAGCAGGUGGGAAUAUUGGACGAAGUGGGGGCAACCCGUGACUCCAGCCACUACCGCGU